UACACCGAGCUCUCUUACAAAAACAAAAAAACACAUUUCUCUCUCUCUCUCUCACUGAGCUCGAUCUCUUGGGCUCGUCGAAUUCGAAAUCUGAUCUCCGACGAUUGAUCCCGGUAGAGGCUAGUACACUCUCCAAUCUGCAAAAAUGCCUCUCAGACUCGAAAUCAAGCGCAAGCUUGCGCAAAGAUCAGAGAGAGUGAAAUGUGUGGAUCUACAUCCAACAGAGCCAUGGAUUCUGGCUAGUUUAUACUCUGGAACUGUCUGUAUCUGGAACUACCAGUCUCAGACCAUGGCAAAAUCUUUUGAGGUUACCGAGUUACCAGUUAGAUCGGCCAAGUUUAUUGCACGCAAACAGUGGGUUGUUGCUGGAGCAGAUGAUAUGUUUAUCCGUGUAUAUAAUUACAACACAAUGGAUAAAGUCAAAGUAUUUGAAGCACAUACUGAUUACAUUAGGUGUGUGGCAGUUCAUCCUACCCUUCCUUAUGUGCUUUCAUCAUCUGAUGAUAUGCUCAUAAAGCUUUGGGAUUGGGAAAAAGGCUGGAUCUGUACCCAGAUAUUUGAAGGUCAUUCUCAUUAUGUCAUGCAAGUAACAUUUAAUCCCAAAGACACAAACACCUUUGCAAGUGCAUCUCUUGAUCGGACAAUAAAGAUUUGGAAUCUUGGCUCUCCUGACCCUAAUUUUACUUUGGAUGCUCAUCAGAAAGGAGUGAAUUGUGUUGAUUAUUUUACAGGUGGUGACAAACCAUAUCUAAUCACUGGUUCUGAUGAUCACACUGCUAAGGUAUGGGAUUAUCAGACCAAAAGUUGUGUCCAGACCCUAGAAGGUCACACACACAAUGUAUCUGCUGUAUGCUUUCAUCCUGAACUUCCUAUAAUCAUUACUGGUUCUGAGGAUGGCACAGUACGCAUAUGGCACUCCACAACUUAUAGGCUUGAGAACACAUUAAACUAUGGUCUUGAAAGAGUCUGGGCUAUUGGAUACUUGAAGAGUUCUCGUCGGGUUGUGAUUGGCUAUGAUGAAGGAACAAUUAUGGUCAAACUUGGUCGAGAAGUACCUGUGGCUAGCAUGGACAACAGUGGGAAAAUUAUUUGGUCUAAGCAUAAUGAAAUUCAGACUGUCAAUAUAAAAAGUGUAGGAGCAGAUGUAGAGGUUGCUGACGGAGAAAGGUUACCUUUAGCUGUUAAGGAGUUGGGCACCUGUGAUCUCUACCCCCAAAAUUUAAAGCACAAUCCAAAUGGGAGGUUUGUUGUUGUAUGUGGAGAUGGUGAGUACAUUAUAUACACUGCAUUGGCAUGGAGAAAUAGGUCAUUUGGUUCAGCACUGGAAUUUGUUUGGUCUUCUGAGGGAGAAUAUGCUGUCAGAGAAAGUACAUCAAAGAUUAAAAUUUUCAGCAAAAAUUUCCAGGAAAAGAGGAGUGUCCGACCAACAUUUUCAGCUGAAAGAAUAUUCGGUGGCACUUUACUGGCGAUGUGCUCCAACGAUUUCAUCUGCUUUUAUGACUGGGCUGAAUGCAGGUUGAUCUAUCGCAUUGAUGUCAAUGUGAAAAACCUCUACUGGGCUGACAGUGGUGAUCUAGUAACAAUUGCUAGUGAUACAUCAUUCUACAUUCUGAAGUACAAUCGUGAUGUUGUUGUAUCACAUUUAGAUAGUGGAAGACCUGUAGAUGAUGAAGGUGUUGAAGAUGCUUUUGAGCUCUUACAUGAAAUGAAUGAACGUGUCAGGACAGGCAUCUGGGUUGGGGAUUGCUUUAUCUACAACAAUACCUCUUGGAGACUUAAUUACUGUGUUGGUGGUGAGGUAACUACGAUGUUUCAUUUGGACCGCCCUAUGUACUUGUUGGGAUAUCUUGCAAACCAAAGUCGUGUUUAUUUGAUUGACAAAGAGUUUAAUGUUAUGGGAUACACACUGCUUUUAAGCUUGAUUGAGUACAAGACACUUGUGAUGCGUGGUGAUUUGGAAAGGGCCAAUGAUAUUCUGCCAUCAAUCCCCAAAGAGCAUCAUAACAGUGUGGCUCAUUUCCUUGAAUCACGAGGGAUGAUAGAAGAUGCUCUUGAAGUAGCUACUGACCCUGAGUACAGAUUUGAUCUAUCAAUACAGCUUGGAAAACUAGAUGUUGCAAAGAGUAUUGCAAUAGAAUUACAGAGCGAGCCUAAAUGGAAGCAGUUGGGAGAAUUAACUAUGUCUACUGGAAAGUUAGAAAUGGCUGAGGAAUGUUUGAAGUAUGCAAUGGAUUUGAGUGGCUUGUUACUGCUAUAUUCUUCUUUAGGAGAUGCUGAAGGAAUAUCAAAACUUGCAAUCCUUGCUAAGGAGCAAGGGAAAAACAAUGUUGCAUUCCUUUGCUUAUUUAUGUUGGGUAAAUUAGAAGACUGCCUUCAACUGUUGGUAGAAAGCAAUCGAAUUCCGGAGGCAGCUUUAAUGGCUCGAUCUUAUCUCCCAAGUAAGGUCUCAGAGAUAGUGGCAAUUUGGAGAAAAGACCUCAAUAAGGUUAAUCCAAAAGCUGCUGAAUCAUUGGCUGAUCCUGAAGAAUAUCCAAAUUUGUUUGAAGAUUGGCAGGUUGCACUAGCUGUCGAAUCUAAAGCUGUGGAAACAAGGAAUGUGUACCCUCCUGCGGAGCAGUACGUCAACCAUGCUGACAAAUCACAAAUUACCCUUGUUGAAGCCUUUAGAAACAUGCAGAUUGAGGAAGGAGAGGAGCAUCUGGAGAAUGGGGACUCUACUCAUGAGUUGACAGAACAAAGUGGAGAAGAGCACUACACAGAGGAUCAGGAGGAACAGAAUGGAGAGGAAGGAAGCCAAGAGGAGGCAGUUGUAGUGGAUGCAGAUUCUACAGAUGGUGCAGUACUCGUUAAUGGUAACGAGGCUGACGAAGAGUGGGGUACGAAUAAUGAAGGAGCCCCGUCAGCCUAAAAGCAAUUGGUUGGGGUGGUGUGAAAAUCGAAAUUUUGUCUCUGUGCUUGCACCACAUCACUAGGUUCCAUCAAGACAGUCUAUUCCAGCUUCUGGGAUAUUUUAUGAGGUUUAUCAAUCGAUUAACAGUUUUUGGUUAUUAUUAUGAUCUUAUUACCACCCGGAUAGACUAUUUUUGGUUUGAAAAAGCAUUCCUUCAUUCAAUUUGGAUGCUCACAUAGACGAGUAGUGUUGCAAAAAGAAGACAUGCUCGUGUUUAUGUGCAUCCGCAGGUCUUCUCAAGGUUACAUGAAGAGAUUUUUUGGACUGGUUGUUUGUUUCCUGGUGUUGUGGAUUUGUAGUGCCCUGAAUUUUGUCAUUUUGCUCGUUGUAUGAACAAUAUUCCUUAGGGUCAGUUACAAUUUACUAGAGUUUAUAUAUAGCACAUUCUUUUGAGGCUUUUACCUCAAUAUACUCGUGCCAUUGUGAAUGUAGAAAAGCGGAACUAGAGACGGGUUGCCCGUUUAAACUUUAGAUAAGUUUUUUAAAAAAAUAUUUUUUCUUGACCAUUAUUUUAAUUUUUAUAUUUUCCUGGAUUGUAAACAUGGAUGGUUAAUAGAGAAAAUAAUGAUUCUUCCCAAGGUUGCUUC